AUUGAACGCUGGCGGCAGGCUUAACACAUGCAAGUCGAGCGGAGAUGAGGUGCUUGCACCUUAUCUUAGCGGCGGACGGGUGAGUAAUGCUUAGGAAUCUGCCUAUUAGUGGGGGACAACAUUCCGAAAGGAAUGCUAAUACCGCAUACGUCCUACGGGAGAAAGCAGGGGAUCUUCGGACCUUGCGCUAAUAGAUGAGCCUAAGUCGGAUUAGCUAGUUGGUGGGGUAAAGGCCUACCAAGGCGACGAUCUGUAGCGGGUCUGAGAGGAUGAUCCGCCACACUGGGACUGAAGCACGGCCCAGACUCCUACGGGAGGCAGCAGUGGGGAAUAUUGGACAAUGGGGGGAACCCUGAUCCAGCCAUGCCGCGUGUGUGAAGAAGGCCUUUUGGUUGUAAAGCACUUUAAGCGAGGAGGAGGCUACCGAGAUUAAUACUCUUGGAUAGUGGACGUUACUCGCAGAAUAAGCACCGGCUAACUCUGUGCCAGCCGCCGCCGUAAUAC
rnacentral:rRNA from 1 species